GACGAACGCUGGCGGCGUGCUUAACACAUGCAAGUCGAGCGGUAAGGCCCUUUUGGGGGUACACGAGCGGCGAACGGGUGAGUAACACGUGGGUGACCUGCCCUUAGCUCUGGGAUAAGCCUGGGAAACUGGGUCCGUAAAUACCGGAUAUGACUCCAUGACGCAUGUUGUGGGGUGGAAAGCCUUAGUGCGGCUAGGGAUGGGCCCGCGGCCUAUCAGCUUGUUGGUGGGGUGAUGGCCUACCAAAGGCGACGACGGUAGCCGGCCUGAGAGGGCGACCGGCCACACUGGGACUGAGACACGGCCCAGACU
rnacentral:rRNA from 1 species